rnacentral:misc_RNA from 1 species
GAUGAAGAACGUAGCGAAAUGCGAUAAGUAGUGUGAAUUGCAGAAUUCAGUGAAUCAUCGAAUCUUUGAACGCACAUUGCGCCCCUUGGUAUCCCGAGGGGCAUGCCUGUUCGAGCGUCAUUUCACCACUCAAGCCUGGCUUGGUGUUGGGCGACGUCCCCUUUGGGGACGCGCCUCGAAACGCUCGGCGCCGUGGCACCGGCUUUAAGCGUAGCAGAAUCUUUCGCUUUGGAAGUCGGGGCCCCGUCUGCCGGAAGACCUACUCGCAAGGUUGACCUCGGAUCAGGCAGGGAUACCCGCUGAACUUAAGCAUAUCAAUAAGCGGAGGA